rnacentral:rRNA from 1 species
CCUACGGGAGGCAGCAGUGAGGAAUAUUGGUCAAUGGGCGGAAGCCUGAACCAGCCAAGUAGCGUGCAGGAUGACGGCCCUACGGGUUGUAAACUGCUUUUAUACGGGAAUAACUCGCCUUACGUGUAGGUCUUUGCAUGUACCGUAUGAAUAAGGACCGGCUAAUUCCGUGCCAGCAGCCGCGGUAAUACGGAAGGUCCGGGCGUUAUCCGGAUUUAUUGGGUUUAAAGGGAGCGUAGGCGGGAUGUCAAGCGUGCUGUGAAAUGUCCGGGCUCAACCCGGGCCUUGCAGCGCGUACUGGCGGGCUGGAGUCCGCGGAAAGUAGGCGGAAUUCGUGGUGUAGCGGUGAAAUGCUUAGAUAUGACGAAGAACCCCGAUUGCGAAGGCAGCUUGCUGCAGCGGAACUGACGCUGAUGCUCGAAAGCGCGGGUAUCGAACAGGAUUAGAUACCCUUGUAGUC